rnacentral:rRNA from 1 species
CAGAUGAAACUAGAUACAAGCGAGCGGCGGACGGGUGAGUAACACGUGGGUAACCUGCCCAAGAGACUGGGAUAACACCUGGAAACAGAUGCUAAUACCGGAUAACAACACUAGACGCAUGUCUAGAGUUUAAAAGAUGGUUCUGCUAUCACUCUUGGAUGGACCUGCGGUGCAUUAGCUAGUUGGUAAGGUAACGGCUUACCAAGGCAAUGAUGCAUAGCCGAGUUGAGAGACUGAUCGGCCACAUUGGGACUGAGACACGGCCCAAACUCCUACGGGAGGCAGCAGUAGGGAAUCUUCCACAAUGGACGCAAGUCUGAUGGAGCAACGCCGCGUGAGUGAAGAAGGGUUUCGGCUCGUAAAGCUCUGUUGGUAGUGAAGAAAGAUAGAGGUAGUAACUGGCCUUUAUUUGACGGUAAUUACUUAGAAAGUCACGGCUAACUACGUGCCAGCAGCCGCGGUAAUACGUAGGUGGCAAGCGUUGUCCGGAUUUAUUGGGCGUAAAGCGAGUGCAGGCGGUUCAAUAAGUCUGAUGUGAAAGCCUUCGGCUCAACCGGAGAAUUGCAUCAGAAACUGUUGAACUUGAGUGCAGAAGAGGAGAGUGGAACUCCAUGUGUAGCGGUGGAAUGCGUAGAUAUAUGGAAGAACACCAGUGGCGAAGGCGG